CCUACGGGUGGCAGCAGUGGGGAAUAUUGGGCAAUGGGCGCAAGCCUGACCCAGCAACGCCGCGUGAAGGAAGAAGGCUUUCGGGUUGUAAACUUCUUUUCGCAGGGACGAAGCAAGUGACGGUACCUGAGUAAUAAGCCACGGCUAACUACGUGCCAGCAGCCGCGGUAAUACGGAGGUGGCAAGCGUUAUCCGGAUUUACUGGGUGUAAAGGGCGUGUAGGCGGGGACGCAAGUCAGCUGUGAAAACCACGGGCUCAACCUGUGGCCUGCAUUUGAAACUGUGUUUCUAGAGUACUGGAGAGGCAGACGGAAUGCCUAGUGUAGCGGUGAAAUGCGUAGAUAUUAGGCGGAACACCAGGGGCGAAGGCGGUCUGCUAGACAGCAACUGACGCUGAGGCGCGAAAGCGUGGGGAGCAAACAGGAUUAGAUACCCCAGUAGUC
rnacentral:rRNA from 1 species